rnacentral:rRNA from 1 species
UACGUAGGGGGCAAGCGUUGUCCGGAUUUAUUGGGCGUAAAGAGCGUGUAGGCGGCCAGGCAGGUCCGUUGUGAAAACUCGAGGCUCAACCUCGAGACGUCGAUGGAAACCGUCUGGCUAGAGUCCGGAAGAGGAGAGUGGAAUUCCUGGUGUAGCGGUGAAAUGCGCAGAUAUCAGGAAGAACACCAAUGGCGAAGGCAGCUCGCUGGGACGGUACUGACGCUGAGGAGCGAAAGCGUGGGGAGCAAACAGG